UCCUUAUAAAGCCAGCAGGUCCUAAUUUCUAGGGUCAGGUAAACUAGCUAAAGCUGAGUUGGAGGAUUGUGAUUGGUGUAGGUUAGGUUUCCUUGACAGAUGUUUCCCAUAAGUGCGGGCUAACUUAGGUUUAGAUUUGUGACAUGGGCUGGGCCACUGGGGGGGGCCUCCAUUUUGUGGGUCCCAAUAUACGAAUUAACGUUAUCAGAGGUAAGGCUGAAGAAA